UUCCUCUUUUUCAGGUGUAGCAUCGGCGGUUUCUUGCCCCGAGGCAGGGGGGGCUGCGGGGUCUUCGGGCUUCGUCUUCCCCACCCUUGGCCCCCCCGGGCUGUUGCAGCUGAUUCAACCUCAACACUGGCCAUUUGGAAAGCAAAAAUGAAGGAUGUGUGUAAGCUUGAAAGAAUAUAUAGAGAUGGUUUUAAGGAGAGGAAGAAUGCUAGGGAGUGAAGUGAAGAGAUGAUCGAUAUGAGAGCUAUUUAUAGAGAUGUGAAAUGCAUAGCUUAGUUCAUAAGAAUGAGAGGAGUUAAAC
rnacentral:misc_RNA from 1 species